GACUGCAUAGCGCAGUGAAUUAGCGCAUUUGAUUUCGGAUCAGAAGGUUGUGGGUUCGACUCUCACUGUGGUCA